rnacentral:tRNA from 1 species
GGGUACUUGGUCGAGUCUGGUUUAUGGCGCUCGUCUUGAAAACGAGUACUCCUAAAGAGUCGUACGGUUUAAAUCCAACAGUGCCCG